AGAGUUUGAUCCUGGCUCAGAGCGAACGCUGGCGGCGUGCUUAACACAUGCAAGUCGAGUGCGCAGCUUCCUGUAGCAAUACAGGGAGUGGGCGCACGGCGCACGGGUGCGUAACACGUGGGCAAUCUGCCCUCGGAUGGGGGAUAACCCCGCGAAAGCGGGGCUAAUACCGCAUGACAUUCCGAAGACUCCGGUCUUUGGACUCAAAGGCCGCAAGGCCGUCUGAGGAGGAGCCCGCGCCCGAUUAGCUAGUUGGUGAGGUAACGGCUCACCAAGGCUUUGAUCGGUAGCCGGUCUGAGAGGAUGGCCGGCCACACUGGAACUGAGACACGGUCCAGACUCCUACGGGAGGCAGCAGUGGGGAAUAUUGCGCAAUGGGCGAAAGCCUGACGCAGCGACGCCGCGUGGGGGAUGAAGCUUCUCGGAGUGUAAACCCCUUUCGACCCGGACGAAUGACCCGCAAGGGUUUGACGGUACGGGUAUAAGAAGCCCCGGCUAACUACGUGCCAGCAGCCGCGGUAAUACGUAGGGGGCCAGCGUUGCUCGGAAUUACUGGGCGUAAAGGGUUCGUAGGUGGUGCGGCAAGUUGGAAGUGAAAUCUCUGGGCUUAACCCAGAGGCUGCUUUCAAAACUGCCGUGCUCGAGUGCGAGAGAGGCCAGUGGAAUUGCAGGUGUAGCGGUGAAAUGCGUAGAUAUCUGCAGGAACACCCGUGGCGAAGGCGGCUGGCUGGAUCGCAACUGACACUGAGGAACGAAAGCUAGGGGAGCAAACAGGAUUAGAUACCCU
rnacentral:rRNA from 1 species